AAUGAACGCUGGCGGCGCGCCUAAUACAUGCAAGUCGAGCGAGAAGACGUAGCAAUACGUUUGUAAAGCGGCGAACGGGUGAGGAAUACAUGGGUAACCUACCCUAGAGUGGGGAAUAACUAGCCGAAAGGUUAGCUAAUACCGCGUACGCUCCUUGGACUUCGGUUCAGGGAGGAAAGCGAUGCCGAGGGUAUCGCGCUCUUGGAUGGGCUCAUGUCCUAUCAGCUUGUUGGUGAGGUGACGGCUCACCAAGGCUUCGACGGGUAGCUGGUCUGAGAGGACGAUCAGCCACACUGGCACUGCGACACGGGCCAGACUCCUACGGGAGGCAGCAGUAAGGAAUAUUGCGCAAUGGGCGAAAGCCUGACGCAGCGACGCCGCGUGA
rnacentral:rRNA from 1 species